UGGGGAAUAUUGGACAAUGGGCGCAAGCCUAAUCCAGCAAUGCCGCGUGUGUGAAGAAGGCCUUCGGGUUGUAAAGCACUUUUAUCAGGAGCGAAACGCUGUCGGCUAAUACCCGGCGGAACUGACGGUACCUGAGGAAUAAGCACCGGCUAACUUCGUGCCAGCAGCCGCGGUAAUACGAAGGGUGCAAGCGUUAAUCGGAAUUACUGGGCGUAAAGCGUGCGUAGGCGGUUUCUUAAGUCUGCUGUGAAAUCCCCGGGCUCAACCUGGGAAUGGCAGUGGAUACUGGGAGGCUAGAGUGUGUCAGAGGGUGGUGGAAUUCCCGGUGUAGCGGUGAAAUGCGUAGAGAUCGGGAGGAACAUCAGUGGCGAAGGCGGCCACCUGGGACAACACUGACGCUGAGGCACGAAAGCGUGGGGAGCAAACAGGAUUAGAUACCCUGGUAGUCCACGCCCUAAAGCGAUGCGAACUGGAUGUUGGUCUCAACUCGGAGAUCAGUGUCGAAGCUAACGCGUUAAGUUCGCCGCCUGGGGAGUACGGUCGCAAGACUGAAACUCAAAGG
rnacentral:rRNA from 1 species